GAUCAUGGCUCAGGACGAACGCUGGCGGCGUGCUUAACACAUGCAAGUCGAACGAGAAUCUGCGAAAAGAGGAUUCGUCCAAUUGAAGCAGAGGACAGUGGCGGACGGGUGAGUAACGCGUGAGGAACCCGCCUUUCAGAGGGGGACAACAGUUGGAAACGACUGCUAAUACCGCAUAACAUAUAGAUGUCGCAUGGCAUUUAUAUCAAAGAUUUAUCGCUGAAAGAUGG
rnacentral:rRNA from 1 species